UGGCUCCAUCCCUGUGUCUGACUUGCCUUU
rnacentral:piRNA from 1 species